CAGGCCGCGACCUUCCUUCCGCUCGCCUCAGGAGGAAGCUGAGGUCCCUGCCUGCCGUGCGACCCCGGGCCCGGAGGGGAGGGCCGCCCGGUCGGGACUCACAAGGACUCCAGAUGGCAAUUUGUAUAAUCCUUUCCAGAUCCAUCCAUUUUCCUAGCAGCAAGUGAAGACUGAGCGCGGCGGAGUUGCACGUGGCUCUGAAUCCGGGACAGGAGGAGGUCGGCGGGCCUGGGAAACAGAAGCUUCGCGGCCGAGGAAUCCGCAGUUGGGGCGCGGCGGGAGGCGGUGGGCGGGCUCCCAGGUGGCUCCGCCCUGGGCUGGG